GAGUUUGAUACGGCUGUGCGCCAUGAUACUGAGUUUGAUACGGCUGUACGCCAUGAUGUUGAAUUUGAUAUGGCCAUGCGCCAUGGUAAUGAGUUUGAUACGACUGUGCGCCUUGAUGUUGAGUUUGAUACGGCUGUUCGCCAUGAUGUUAGGGCAUUGUGUAUGCCUUUGUAUAUCAUCCGAGCAUUGUGUGUGCUCUGUUACAUAUUUGAGGCAUUAUGGUGCCAUUGUAGACUCGUGGUGCGUUGGUAAAUUUCUUUCACUACAAUUAUGAUAAGUCCUUAGUGGGUAUCCUUGUUUGUUAAUUCUUAAUAACUCUGUUGAUACACAAAUGUUGAGUAAUUGUAUAAUUUUCAUAUUUACUAUAUCAUUCGUGUUGUGGUGUGUUUGUAUUUUCCAACACUGUUCUAGCGGUAUUUAAAGUGGCGGGUCGAGGAUCUUAUUGGGUUAUAUUUACAUAUAACUCACUCCUUAUCCGCAUGUCUAUGCAGAUACCAUUGAUGAAGACGAAGCUAAUUACUGACAAGUUCGCUGGAGUUUGCUCAGUUAUUGA
rnacentral:lncRNA from 1 species